rnacentral:rRNA from 1 species
CAGUAGCCACGGUAAAACGAAGGGGGCUAGCGUUGCUCGGAAUGACUGGGCGUAAAGGGCGCGUAGGCGGUUUGUCGAGUUAGAUGUGAAAUUCCCGGGCUUAACCUGGGGACUGCAUUUGAUACUGGCAGGCUUGAGUGUGGAAGAGGGUCGUGGAAUUCCCAGUGUAGAGGUGAAAUUCGUAGAUAUUGGGAAGAACACCGGUGGCGAAGGCGGCGACCUGGUCCAUAACUGACGCUGAGGCGCGAAAGCGUGGGGAGCAAACAGGAUUAGAUACCCCCGUAGUCCCUGUCUAUUAUAU